CAGUCGGUCUAGGGAGGUGAUGUAAGUUACUUGGUUAAAGUCUUCGACAAGAUCCAAAAUAUUUCGCGAGCACCAAACCAAAGUGGAUAUGCCCACUCGACUUAUCAACACUGGAUCGUUGUGAUACAUGACUAGUGAUCGCAGUUACAUUAAAAAUAUCGAGUGAGUGUUCCUCAUUUAUUUUGAACAACAAGCGGGCGAAAUUCCGUCUAGAUACCAAGGACUCUAGCUUAGUCAAAACAGGCCCCUAAAUUAUCAUUUUGGGAUAGAAGUUUUCUGAGUCUUGUCGCCAGUCUUGGAUCGUCGAUUUUCUGAAAUCCACUUAGCGACUGUCGGGUAAUUGCUAUAUCACUGUGAAUAAAUUUUAGGCACCCUAUUCGGAAAGUAUACCUUUUGAUGAUUGCUUUUGUAUUCAUGCAUUAAAUGCCUCAGUUUAACAACUAAUAGCGAGUGUGUGUUUCUAUAAGAUAGAUCAUAGGAUAGUUUCAAAGUGGACAGUUGACAAUUCGUUCUUAGUGAGAUGGGCAGUCCGCAUAAAAUUCAUAUUGAGGCCAGCAAAUACCACGUCAGCGGUAGAUUGUACCAUCGAUAGUCGGAAACUUAAAAGUUUAACAAUGAUGUCUUUACUCCCUUCAGUAAAAAGCCGCAUUCGAUUAUCUUUAGAGUCUAAUCAGCAGCAAUGUCGGAGAACCUGUCACGAUUGCAAUGAUCAAAAAUUUGAUUACAUCAUGUAUUUUCCAGAAAUCGUGACUAAAAUAUUCCCCAAUAAAUCUCUCUCUUUCUCUCGCAACAAUUUCGUCAAUGUGUGACCCAAAAUGUACUCUACUGUCAAACAUUUCAUGUAGAUCAAUCUAAUUGAGCGAAUGAGAUUUUUAUUCAGACAGUUAAGGUCCAGGUGAUUCUUCUUUCACCAUCUGGCAGACCCGUCCGGAUCAUUUUGCCAAUUCAUGAUAUCUUCACCAUUCACAAUGAUGCUCAAGAACUUAGCGCCGUAGGCAUAGAUGACCUCUCCACAACGUAAACCAUCGACUAUAGCAUUUAGAAAUAUGUUAAAAAGCAGGAGAGCCAGGUUAGAAAUACGAAGUACGCGAAAGGUACCCGAGCAGGUUUUACAAGUUGAUCCGAACGCUGCUGCACCACAAGAUCUAUCAGUCUCAUGAGAGCUGAGCAGAGAAGGGAUCUGCUCCGUCACUCGUAAUUCACCAAUCUACCCCAACAACGAGACAAUAUCAACACGAUCAAACGUUUUGGAGCAGUCAGUAUGGAUAACGUCUACCUGAUUUCCCUUGGCCAGGACGACACCGACAAACUGAACGUGAGCUAGAAGGGUGGUGACCGCACACCUCCUAGGUCUAAAGCCAUGCGACAAAGGGAUUAGGAAAAAGCUCAGUGCGCAUAGAGAGAUCAAAGUUUAGCUCAAUAAGUACCGCGGGAGCAUGGAAAGUGUCCAUCCCAAUGCUGUUAGGAAUCCCAUCCACCCACGCACUCUAUUUUGAUACCAGAGAGCAGACUGCUUUUGAUAUCUCAUAUUCUCAAGAACGAAGUCACCCUCUAAGUGAUGUGGGCCCAUUGUACUACUGGCAUUAAGAUCGGAAUUAAUAUAAGUACUAUUGAGGAAAUGAGAGAAUUGGUGCAAGAAUUCACGACGAUUAGUGAAAACCCUUCCAACAUGAUGAAUAAGUCCCUCGAUAUCGGUUUCUAGUGUAUAGGAUCCACCCACCAGCCAGAAUUUUCCACAAAGACUGAAAUAUUUUCCUAAGAAAUCAAGACCCAGAAAAAAGUUACGUGACAAUAUUGGUGUAAAUUUUAUGAACAAAUAUUUUUUGUUUGAAACCAUUUUCGAUGUCUCCAACCAUUCAAAUGAAAGAUCAAGGUCCCCAAAGCCAUCUUCCUAUCCGUAUUCGUCGCCUUAAAAUAGAUCUGAUAAGAAUAUCAAAAUAGCACAAUAUAAGUAUAAUAGAAUAUUAGUAACAAAGGUAGUUGUUUCUCACUCGUCAGCAAGUACUUUUUUCAUGUUUAUGGUACGAUAUUUUAUGAGGUUGGUCAUCACUUAUGUCAUAACAUGCUCAUUAUUUCAAGACCAUGGGAGCGCUAUCCAUAAAGUGCUUACAUAUCGAUUUCUCCAUGCUGGAAUGAACUUGAAAACAAAUUUUCUAUUUUUUUUCUACUCAUAAACCCUGUCGAAGAUUCACGAUUUGUUCCGAUCUCCGUGUAGCGGAUUUGCCGAAGGAUGAGGGAACAACCUGCCCGGGUACAGUCACCUCUUUGACGAAACUAUCACUCGGCAAGGAAACUACGAGAUAAAAGCCCUACAAUCCCUUUGACCGCCGUCGCCGGGAACCGAUCACGCUUCCAUGUCUAUAAUAAUCUAACAAUCUUACCGCACGGCCACAAUCGCCGGUAUCCAAAAACUUUAUAUUUAUUUUAAUUGUUGUACUAAAUAUAAUUGUGAUAAGUUUUGACAAUGUCGACUGUCUUUUGGAGGUUUGUAUGUCACAUAAAAAAUCGUGGACCAAAUCGCCAUUAUGGGCUGGGUGAGGUGGCAUGGAAUAUCCCCUAUUUAGUCUGAUUCUAUUUUAUGUUCAUAUUAUUUUACUGAAUUAUAUGCGAUUGUAUCAUAAUAUAUGUGGCCUAUAUUUUCAUUUGUAUUCGAUUCCCGUAUGGAAGGGAGCGAGAAAAUAAAUAUCGAAGUCGAUAUAUAUUUAGUUUGGUGAGAAUAAUUGUUUUCACCCAAAGUGUUGGAAAGUCUAGAGGAAAAAUUCAAUAAAAAAAUAACACCAAGUCACUUCAAUGAGAAAUUAAGAUAUUUCCACACUUUAUAUUUACUUGAUGAAUUUGCGAUUAAUUGGAAACACAAUGAAAAAUGUACUGUGAGAGGAGUUGAAAUUACGGGAAUUAUGUAUUGAAUAGGACCGACGCGAUGUGAGUAUUCGAUUAUACGAAAAUACACGGAAAAAGAGUCGGUACAUUAUGAUAUUAGGUAAAAAUGAAUACUGCAAAAUGUGGAGAAAAGUGUCGAGUUACAUAUUCAAAGUCCGCAUGGACUGAGCAGAAAAAUUUGUUGAAUUUCAGUUGGUCAAAAAAUAAGUGCAAGAACAUUUUCAUUCGUUUAUCUAUAUGAGGUGAAGGGAGGGUGGAAAAUAAAAAGGCGUCGUAAGUUCGGGACGUGUCUGGGUCUGAACUCUUCGAGUAACCGUAAUCAAGUAAUAAAUGAUCCGAGUUCUGAAGCAAUUGAAUAUUUUUCUUGAGAUUUUUGACAGGCGAGGACAGGUGAUGACCGCCGUAAUAAGGGUGUAAAAUAAUUAACUAUUCUUUGUCGGAUUUAUAGAAAAGCACAAUAAAUGAGCUCGAAUAAUGAAAUAUUUUCCUGGAUUCGAAGAAAAAGGAUACAAAAGAAACGAAAGCGGUUUUUGAAUUUUGAGUAAUAUUUCGAAGGUUAAACUGUUGACCGUAAUAAAACUUUUGUUUUCGACUGACGGACUUUUUGAAAAUGUAGCCUUUAUGAUAGCUAUAUUACAAUAUUUUAAAGGAUUAAAAUUUUUGAGACGACGAGUGAUAAAAUAAAUUCAAGUCCAAUUUAUA